GCUGUUGGUUAAAAGUUUUGAAUUUGACUUUCUAACAUUGGUCGUUUGGACCAAUCAGGUGUGGCGUUUGUUCGUAAAUUACCGACCGAGCAAUAGUUUUGGUCACGUGAUGGCGCUCGAUGCGCCACCAUUAACAAUGAAGUUAACCUCCAAAUUAGUCUCGUGUAGUGCAAAUGGUGCAAAUUAUACGUAAUUAAUUCAAAAAAGUAGAGAAAUUAAAGUUGAAUAUGUAGUUAGAAGUCAAUUUGCAUUGUGUACAAUUUACUUUAAAGUUAAAUAUAUCUGAAGAGUGGCGAUAUUAUCGCACUGAAGAGGAAAAUUAAACUCCUUGGCGUCACAUUGCAGGCAUUGUGUCGUCUUGUCGGUCGUCGUCAAAUUGAUCGAGGACAAUAAUCGAAUGAGAAAUUUUCUGACCUGAAAUUAUUGUCGGUCAAUUUCCAAAAUUCUCGAAUAAGAAAGUGAGGUUAUGUUUGCCAAUUCGAUGCGCCAAAUAUUGUCGUUGUCAUUGUUUAUUGUUCUCAACAGUGGAAAAGAAACAACGUGGGAACUAAAUUUAUAGUAAGAUGACGGCUUGCGAAAAGGGAAGAACUGUUUUUCUGAACUGCAAACAUUAUUUCAAGGAGUAAAGCAAAUACAUAUACUUUUCAUACAAUUUGUUUUUAAAAGUAAAAAAUAAAAUUAGAAAAAGAGCGAAUAAAGAAUUCUUUGAUAAGAAAUUAGUCCUCUUUAAAGAUUUUCCAUGAAUUGACACACAAGAAAAAGAGAUGCAAACCGCGAAGAGAAAUUCAAUCAAUUGCCUAUAUAGGAGUUCAUCAGACCAAAGGUAUUUAUCGUUAACAAUAUUAUAUUACCAUAAACAUAUUUUGUUCCAAAAAAAUUUUAAUAACAAAAAUAGUCACUUGUUUAUUCCUGCUUUUGUUGAUAACCAAACAAUUAUGUUAAAAACACGUGCGCAAAAAUUACACAGAAAAAACAAAAUCAGAAACCUGCUUCUUAAAAUCAUAUAUCAAAAUGUUUCAAACUAUAAUAUAGUUUCAGUCUUAGCAGUAAAAAUACCGACUUUAAUUAUAAAAUUAAAUUUUUGGCUAAAAUUUAGUCGAAAAACAAUUUUUAGUGUAAAUGG